rnacentral:rRNA from 1 species
AGCAGUGAGGAAUAUUGGGCAAUGGAGGCAAAGUGACCCAGCCAUGCCGCGUGCAGGAAGAAUGCCUUAUGGGUUGUAAAAUGCUUUUAUUUGGGAAGAAACCCUCGAACGUGUUAGAGGGUGACGGUACCAAAAGAAUAAGCACCGGCUAACUCCGUGCCAGCAGCCGCGGUAAUACGGAGGGGGCAAGCGUUUUCUGGAAUCACUGGGUGUAAAGGGUGUGCAGGGGGAAUAAUAAGUCAGAGGAGAAAUAUCCCAGCUCAAAAGGGAAAAUGCCAUUGAGAUUGUUUUUCUUGAAUUUGAGGGAGAAGUAAGGAAUGUGUCAAGGGUAGCGUGAAAUGCAUAUAUAUGGCAAAGAACAUCGAUAGCGAAGGCAGCUCACUAGACUUGAAUUGACACUCAUGGGAGAAACGAGGGGGGAGCGAACACGAUUAGAUACCCCGGUAGUCCACACCCUAAAAGAUGAUUACUCGAUAUGGCGAUACACGGUCAGUGUCUAAGCGAAAGCGAUAAGUAU